rnacentral:rRNA from 1 species
ACGUUAGCGGCGGACGGGUGAGUAACACGUGGGCAACCUACCUUAUAGUUUGGGAUAACUCCGGGAAACCGGGGCUAAUACCGAAUAAUCUAUUUUACUUCAUGGUGAAAUACUGAAAGACGGUUUCGGCUGUCGCUAUAAGUUGGGCCCGCGGCGCAUUAGCUAGUUGGUGAGGUAACGGCUCACCAAGGCGACGAUGCGUAGCCGACCUGAGAGGGUGAUCGGCCACACUGGGACUGAGACACGGCCCAGACUCCUACGGGAGGCAGCAGUAGGGAAUCUUCCACAAUGGGCGAAAGCCUGAUGGAGCAACGCCGCGUGAGUGAAGAAGGUUUUCGGAUCGUAAAACUCUGUUGUAAGGGAAGAACAAGUACAGUAGUAACUGGCUGUACCUUGACGGUACCUUAUUAGAAAGCCACGGCUAACUACGUGCCAGCAGCCGCGGUAAUACGUAGGUGGCAAGCGUUGUCCGGAAUUAUUGGGCGUAAAGCGCGCGCAGGCGGUCCUUUAAGUCUGAUGUGAAAGCCCACGGCUCAACCGUGGAGGGUCAUUGGAAACUGGGGGACUUGAGUGCAGAAGAGGAAAGUGGAAUUCCAAGUGUAGCGGUGAAAUGCGUAGAGAUUUGGAGGAACACCAGUGGC